CGUUCCCAGGCCUUACUUUUUCUUGCUGUUGUCACUGUUCAUCCAUAAAUCACUAGAAAGACAUAGUCUAGUGAGGCAGCAAAAAAAGAAAUGGGCGUACAGUUAAGAAAAAGUAAGGCCUGGUUUGGGAAAUCGCGUGAUCCACAAGGAUUUUUAUGAACGUGGGCGAUAUGUAGCCCACAAUCGUGACGUAAGGUAUUCUCCCACGCAUUCAGAGUUAAUAAGACUGUACAUGUACUGAGACAACCACCAAGCUGUGCUGCAAGUCAGAUCAGAGAACCAGCGUGGCCAGCUCUGGUGGCAGUAGCUACCUGCUAUAUAUGAUAAUGAUGACUAACUUAAGCUAUUCUUGAUCUAUACUAGCAUGUAGAAAGACACAAGAAAAGGUAAUAGUCUGAUAGAAUCUGAACACACAAUCUAGACUAGUAGAUCAUCUAAGGUAUAUAGCUAGCUAUAGUGCUUGCAAACUUCCAGUUCCAAGUCCAUGUCCAGCUUGCUGCAGGCAAAGUUUUAUUAGUCAUAGAUAUCUGCGUGGGCAGUCCAACAUCUCUAGCUCAGCAUGCCCACGCUCAUUUUCACCCUUCUACCACCCUUCUACCCUCACGCGACUUCCCGAUACAGGCUCUCCUUUUUCCUAACUCUACGUCUAUUUCUUUCUUUAUUCCUCCAAUUAAUACCGUAUUUUAUCUCAUUGAACGAUAAGACAGUAUUUUAUCUUAUUGAACGAUGUGAUAAAGAACAGAAAAAGGAGAGCCUGUGUAGAGGCUGACCAAUGUAUUUCCCUAGAGAAUUCUGACACCAUGCGUGUUGCAUUCCGCAAGUAUUGAUUGCGAUUGAUUGCGAGACAGCUGCAAAGACAAAAGAGAAGAAACUGAAGAAAACUCCAGGUACUCAGAACAUCUGAGGAUCUGCCAAGACCCUUUGGAAAAGUUUGGCAUGCCAAUGACAGAGGGAAGGGACACUGUUAUUCAUUACGAUUGGUCGUGCAAAAGCUGUGUAGUGACCAGAUGACGGAAAUACACCACUACCUAAAUGUCGUCAGACUUACAAAAAUUAUGUUUUAUGUUUGUAAACAUCAUCAUUUCUCCAUGCAUCCUUUGUGAUUGUGUGUAUCAUAAUGUUAAGAAAUAUAAGUAUGCAUUCUAUAAUUAUGGUCAUGA